AGACUGGGACAAUAGCCCAAGAACCAGAGACUUAUAUUUCAAGGUUUCGGACAAUAUGUAUACAAUCAGAAUAUCGAUCACCAUGAUCAUCAAAGACGUCAACGACAACGCACCAAUGUUUAUAAAUCUUCCCUAUAGAGCAUCGCUCAAUGAGG